rnacentral:tRNA from 1 species
GGUGGCUCAGUGGUAGAGCGCUUGCCUUACAUGCCUGAGGUCCUGGGUUCAAUUCCUCAGCACCA